rnacentral:Y_RNA from 1 species
GGCUGGUUUGAGUGCAGUGGUGUUUACAACUAAUUGAUCACAACCAGUUGGAGAUUUCCUUCUUCCAUCUUCACUCCCAGUCCUUCAGUUGACUAGCCUUAA